rnacentral:misc_RNA from 1 species
GAUGGUAAUUUUGAUAAUGCUAAUGGUUCUCUCUUAUUCUGACUCUUACUUUAACGGAGUUGUGAUUUGUUGUCUUCUGAGUUUUGAAACUGGGGCUUGAAAAUUUACGAACAAAUUCUGCUUGAUUGCCCCAAUUAGAAUCUUCUGACUUCCUGUUGAUGUGUGAGAUUAACCACAACUUGGUUGAAUUUUAUGGUGGCACUGUUAGACCAAAUCAAUAUUUCAAAAAGAUAAAUUCUUUUGCAGAUUUAUAUAAGUGAUUAAUAUUUGUUGUAAGAUUUCAAGAAUGACCUUGUUUGGGAGGAUGGGGAAUGAAUUCCUGCAUGUUCUAUUAAAAAUUCUGUUAAAAAUUUUCUAUCAUUUUUUUCCAGCUCAGUAAGUGCAUAUAUCAUAUUAUAAUUUAUCUGAUCUUCUACUUUUUGUAGAAAAUGGUUUCUUCCAUAAGGGAUUCAAUCAAUCAAUUAGCAGGGUACAUUUUGAUGUUGACACUUUAUGUUAGUUCAAAAUUCUAAUUUCAAAUUUUGAAUGAAGCAAAUUUUUGUUGAACAAUUUCAGAUUGUGAUUUCUGUAGAAAAUGGUAUCUUUCAUAAGGGAUCCAGUCAACCAAACGAUAGGGUAUAUUUUGAUGUUGAAAAUUGGCGUAGUAAUGCUCUUCUUAUGUUACUUUGCAUUAGUUCAUAAUUUUAAUUUCAAAUUUUCAAUAAGGCAGAUUGUUGUUGAACAAUUUCAGAUUUUGUUUAUCAGUAAAAACUAACAAUUUACUGAUAUUUUGUAGAUAACAAUAAACUAACAAAUGGUUGUGAAUAAGCUUAACAUAUUUUGUAGAAUCAUAGUACGCAUAUGUGGUGUGGUUUAUUCCAUUUAUCACACAGGCUGGUACUUCUAUAAAUUUCACUUGCAUAUAUUGGUGGAAAAGAUGGAGUUCAUGGGUGUAUUUGGACUUUGUUUCAUGUUAACCCUCAAUAAUUUGGUAGCAAAGAUGCGUAUGGCGUCCAUGGGUAGUGAUGCACAUUUUGGUGGCUGGUUCAAUGACUAUGAUCUACCCUAAUUUUAGACAAUAUAUAUACUGUAAAUGGUUUUAUUCUUAGUUGAUAUUUUUGUUUUGCUUCUUAUCAAGCAAACCUUGGAAGUUAAUGAUGUUUUUGUCUAAGUCAUGUACUACUUGGGCAUUAAAUGGACAUCUGUGACCUGUUACAGAUUAUCUUAUCACAAGAGAAGAAUAUUUUUAGACUCAACGAACUUGUCCGGAGUCUUCGGCAGCAACUACUGCUGUGCAGGUGCAAUAAUGAGACCACAAAUGGCAUCUCUGGCCCUUUUACUGAACAUGUUAUUGAGGUGGAGCGAGAGCAGAUCCUGGAAGACUAGGAUAGGUUCUUAUGAGCUGUUUUUCAGUGUUUUUAGGUAAUGUUGAAACUGUAAAACUUUUGGUU